rfam:Otolemur garnettii contig002387, whole genome shotgun sequence.
UAGCUCAGUGGUUAGAGCACUGGCUCUGUGCGCCAGGAGUGGUGGGUUCAAACCUGACCCAC